rnacentral:misc_RNA from 1 species
UUUAUGUUUCUCAUAAAGAUGAAAUAUAGCUUCUAUGAUUUUUGGAGCCAACUUAAAGGAGAAACUCCAAAUGCUCAGACUUACAUUGAUAACAAUCAAGAUUGCAUCAUUAGGCACAGCAGCUGAAGGAAUAAGCUCAGAGUCUGCCUUGUCACCAUUUGUAAUGCAAAACAGUAAUUCUUCACAGUGCUUGGUCUGCUCAAACACAAGCACGUCCUCUUGAUGGCACAUUUUAUGCUUCUU